rnacentral:rRNA from 1 species
GACGAACGCUGGCGGCGUGCCUAACACAUGCAAGUCGAACGGAGUUAUUUGGGAGCUUGCUUCCGAAUAACUCAGUGGCGGACGGGUGAGUAACGCGUGAGGAACCUGCCUUUCAGAGGGGGAUAACGUCUGGAAACGGACGCUAAUACCGCAUAACAUCAGAGGGUCACAUGGUCUUCUGAUCAAAGGAGCAAUCCGCUGAGAGAUGGACUCGCGUCCGAUUAGCCAGUUGGCGGGGUAAAGGCCCACCAAAGCGACGAUCGGUAGCCGGACUGAGAGGUUGAACGGCCACAUUGGGACUGAGACACGGCCCAGACUCCUACGGGUGGCUG